AGCGAACGCUGGCGGCAGGCCUAACACAUGCAAGUCGAACGCAUCGCAAGAUGAGUGGCAGACGGGUGAGUAACGCGUGGGAACAUACCCUUUUCUACGGAAUAGCUCUGGGAAACUGGAAUUAAUACCGUAUACGCCCUACGGGGGAAAGAUUUAUCGGGGAAGGAUUGGCCCGCGUUGGAUUAGCUAGUUGGUGGGGUAAAGGCCUACCAAGGCGACGAUCCAUAGCUGGUCUGAGAGGAUGAUCAGCCACAUUGGGACUGAGACACGGCCCAAACUCCUACGGGAGGCAGCAGUGGGGAAUAUUGGACAAUGGGCGCAAGCCUGAUCCAGCCAUGCCGCGUGAGUGAUGAAGGCCUUAGGGUUGUAAAGCUCUUUCACCGAUGAAGAUAAUGACGGUAGUCGGAGAAGAAGCCCCGGCUAACUUCGUGCCAGCCGCCGCCAGUAAAAC
rnacentral:rRNA from 1 species